rnacentral:rRNA from 1 species
CACGUAGGGGGCGAGCGUUGUCCGGAUUUAUUGGGCGUAAAGAGCUCGUAGGCGGCCAACUAAGUCAGACGUGAAAUCCCCAGGCUCAACCUGGGAACUGCGUCUGAUACUGGAUGGCUUGAAUUCGGGAGAGGGAUGCAGAAUUCCAGGUGUAGCGGUGAAAUGCGUAGAUAUCUGGAGGAAUACCGGUGGCGAAGGCGGCAUCCUGGACCGACAUUGACGCUGAUGAGCGAAAGCUAGGGGGAGCAAACGGG